rnacentral:rRNA from 1 species
UACGGAGGAUGCAAGCGUUAUCCGGAUUCAUUGGGUUUAAAGGGUGCGUAGGCGGGCUAUUAAGUCAGUGGUGAAAUCCUGCAGCUUAACUGCAGAACUGCCGUUGAUACUGAUAGUCUUGAGUUUGGUUAAGGUAGGCGGAACGUGUAAUGUAGCGGUGAAAUGCUUAGAUAUUACACAGAACACCAAUUGCGUAGGCAGCUUACUGAGCCGACACUGACGCUGAGGCACGAAAGCGUGGGGAUCAAACAGGAUUA